rnacentral:rRNA from 1 species
AGUGAACGCUGGCGGUAGGCUUAACACAUGCAAGUCGAACGGCAGCACAGUAAGAGCUUGCUCUUACGGGUGGCGAGUGGCGGACGGGUGAGGAAUACAUCGGAAUCUACUUUUUCGUGGGGGAUAACGUAGGGAAACUUACGCUAAUACCGCAUACGACCUACGGGUGAAAGCAGGGGAUCUUCGGACCUUGCGCGAUUGAAUGAGCCGAUGUCGGAUUAGCUAGUUGGCGGGGUAAAGGCCCACCAAGGCGACGAUCCGUAGCUGGUCUGAGAGGAUGAUCAGCCACACUGGAACUGAGACACGGUCCAGACUCCUACGGGAGGCAGCAGUGGGGAAUAUUGGACAAUGGGCGCAAGCCUGAUCCAGCCAUACCGCGUGGGCGAAGAAGGCCUUCGGGUUGUAAAGCCCUUUUGUUGGGAAAGAAAAGCAGCAGGUUAAUACCCCGCUGUUCUGACGGUACCCAAAGAAUAAGCACCGGCUAACUUCGU